UACGUAGGGCGCAAGCGUUAAUCGGAAUUACUGGGCGUAAAGCGUGCGCAGGCGGCUUUGCAAGACAGAUGUGAAAUCCCCGGGCUUAACCUGGGAACUGCAUUUGUGACUGCAUGGCUGGAGUGCGGCAGAGGGGGAUGGAAUUCCGCGUGUAGCAGUGAAAUGCGUAGAUAUGCGGAGGAACACCGAUGGCGAAGGCAGUCCCCUGGGCCUGCACUGACGCUCAUGCACGAAAGCGUGGGGAGCAAACAGG
rnacentral:rRNA from 1 species